ensembl:rRNA 5S_rRNA 5S ribosomal RNA
CCACACGGCCAUACCACCCUGAACGCAUCCUAUCUCAUCUGAUCUCAGAAGCUAAGUAGGGUCGUGCCUGGUUAGUCCUUAGAUGGGAGACCGCCUGGGAAUACCAGGUGCCAUAGGCU